UACUAAAGAGACUGCCUCCAAAGAAUCUAGGCCACAUUUUUGGGGUUUGGAGGAUGCUUCGUCCCUCAAGUAGAGAAGAAGUGAUCCCAGAAGUGUUUCUUCCACCUAAGACAACACUGGAGGAUUUAUUGAGAUAUUGCUGGCAGACCUCCCUGUUCACAGAUCUUGGUUUUGCUGUGUUCACAAAUCCCUAAGAAGUUUACCUUGGAAUAUGAGGGGAGCCCCCAGAGACCACUGCUUUUAUUUUUGGCUUAGCCCGAGCCUCUCAAAUACAGAAGCACCUUUCUGUCAGAUCGUCAGGUCACCUCUGCAUGGACCAGCCUU